CGGGAAACCGGAGCUAAUACCGGAUAAUAUUUAAACCGCAUGGUUCAAAAGUGAAAGACGGUCUUGCUGUCAAUUAUAGAUGGAUCCGCGCUGCAUUAGCUAGUUGGUAAGGUAACGGCUUACCAAGGCAACGAUGCAUAGCCGACCUGAGAGGGUGAUCGGCCACACUGGAACUGAGACACGGUCCAG
rnacentral:rRNA from 1 species